rnacentral:rRNA from 1 species
AGUCUGGUGCCAGCAGCCGCGGUAAUUCCAGCUCAUUUAGUGUAUAUUAAAGUUGUUGCAGUUAAAAAGCUCGUAGUCGAUCAUCUAGUGCUGGCUGCUUCGGCUUCGGCUGCGGUACGCGAGUGCUAUCUGCUCGAGAACUUUAUCGGUCUUAACUGGUCGAUGAUGCUGAUCGGGCACUUUCCUGAGAAAAAAAUUAGAGUGUUCAAAGCAGGCUAAUGCCUUGAAUAUUACAGCUUGGAAUAAUAGAAUAAGACUGAAGUCUCUUUUGUUGGUUAUGAACUUUAGUAAUGGUUAAUAGGAACAGUCGGGGGUAUUAGUAUUUAAUUGUCAGAGGUGAAAUUCUAUGAUUUAUUAAAGACUAACUUAUGCGAAAGCAUUUGCCAAGGAUGUUUUCAAUUGAUCAAGAACGAAAGUUAGGGGAUCAAAGACGAUCAGAUACCGUCCUAGUCUUGACUAUAAACGAUUCCGACUAUGGAUCAGAAGGGUUUUCCAAUCCCUUUUGGCACAUUAUGAGAAAUCAAAGUCUUUGGGUUCUGGGGGAAGUAUGGACACAAGUCUGAAACUUAAAGGAAUUGACGGAAGGGCACACCAGGUGUGGAGCCUGCGGCUUAAUUUGACCCAACACGGGGAAACUUACUAGGGCAAGACUAAGGUUGGAUUGACAGAUUGAGAGCUCUUUCUUGAUUCUUAGGGUGGUGGUGCAUGGCCGUUCUUAGUUGGUGGAGUGAUUUGUCUGGUUAAUUCCGUUAACGAACGAGACCUCAACCUGCUAAACUAGGAGCCGGAUUAAACAUUCGGUUUCCUUCUUAGAGGGACAAAGUGUUCAAGCACUGGGAAGUGAGGCAAUAACAGGUCUGUGAUGCCCCUAGACGUCCUAGGCCGCACGCGCGCUACAAUGACACGUUCAACGAGUUUCUUCCUGGUCCUGACGGAUUCGGGUAAUCUUCAUAGUACGUGUCGUGCUUUGGGAUAGUCCUUUGCAAUUAUAGGACUUAAACUAGGAAUACCUAGUAUAGGUAAGUCAUCAGCUUGCCUAGAUUAUGUCCCUGCCCUUUGUACACACCGCCCGUCGCUCCUACCGAUUUUGAGUGAUUAGGUGAACCUUCUGGAUCAGAGUAGUCUUCAAGGCUGUUCUGAGAAGUUAAGUAAAUCAUUAUCACUUAGAGGAAGGAGAAGUCGUAACAAGGUUUCCGUAGGUGAACCUGCGGAAG